GGUGUGUUUGCUGUUUGUUCCUCUUUCAUUUGUUUAUAGAAUUAUCUGUUAUCUUUUUCUACAAUCAGCUUUUUUGUUUAUCUUGGUAUCUCUUUUUGAUGCUGUUGAUUUUUCACACAUCUGAUGACUUGUCUGUUCAUAUUUAAGAACAAAGAAUGUUUAGCAGAUAUGGUUUUCUUUAGGAAAUUUGUAAACGUACAAAUAGUUCAACCCAUACCUUCCCUUGAAUAUACAGUAGGACUUGUGCAUAUGUAUAAGACAGGUCAACUGCAGGCAUCAUCAUAGAUUUUGUCUGCACCAAGUAAGGUGCAGGCCACAUACCACAUGUCAAAAUGAUCAGAGAUUUAUUCAGGGUUAUCACCAUUAGACUUCUUAUGGUUUCUCCUCCCAGAUACUGCAUUGAAUUCCUUUAAUAAAGAUUGCCCUGCUGCUUUUACCCCACAAAGGCAAAUUCUGGGCCGGCUGGGCUCUAUGUGUGGGCUGACAACCAUCUCAAAUACUGACCCUUAAGUGAUUGUUUUUUCCCAGCCCUGCUUCUUACUUCCUCCCUCCAUGUAAUUUCCUCUGAGCCCAAAGCCACUUCAGUGGGCUGAAGUGGGAAAAUCACUUCAGCCCAAUGGGAAAAUCAGCUCUCAUCUCUGAGCCUUUUCAUAGCAAAUUAUGCUCUACUCGAUUUACAUGCUUCCUUCUACUUUCAGUCCCCUAAAGUCUCACUGAUAUAUCUGUGAUGAUAAUAUUCAUGUGUCCACUUUGGUUCUCUGCAUUUAUUCAUUUUAUGUAUGUUGUGUCUUUUUAUAUAGGCCUCAGGAGAAAAAAAAUAUUAAUCCAUUUUCAAGUAUAUCAUCUUGUUAGUCAAGAAGAGAUAUGCGAAUGCUCAUAUUUCUAAGUGCUCAUUAUCUUGAAAUAAAUAAAUAUUAAUGACAUGCACAUUUAAAAUUAACAGCAAUGAAACAUUUGUUUCUUUUUCCAAAGAGAAUUAUGAUGAUUUAUCCUAAAGUUCUUGUGAACAAAAUUAUGAAAUUUAAAAGAAGGCUAACAAACUGAAAUUUCCCUUUAAGGUUUUCUUUUCACUGUAAGACUGAGACAGGCCCAUAACCAAUAAAUGGAUGUGAUGAUAUACCUGUAACCAAUGAAUGGAUAUGAUAUUUGAAGUUCAAAGGCUGAGUCAUGUUUCAGGGCUAGAAUCUGAGGAUCAUAAAGAUGAACUAAAUGAGCAUGUAUCUGUGUGUUUUCUCUUUGUUUUGGAAACUAAAAUAUUUUCAUGUUUCAUUGCAAAGGUUUAGCCAGGAUUAUAGGAUUUAUGAAAAAGGGUGUUUUAUAGUUUUACAGGAAGCUUUUUAUCUGACUCAUCAGGAUAUGGCUUAUUACUUAUCAGUUCUGUCAUCCUGCAAUCUUUUUUUUUUCUCCAGAAUUUAUAAUAUGAUAGCUCUUAUUCCUAAAGGAAUAUGAAGAGUGCAGCUUGAUGAUCUGUUCCUGUGCCACUGCAUUCUCUUUGGAUUUCCAUUUUAUAUUGUAGUGAAAAGAGCCACUAACUCUUUAUUGUGAACUCAUUCGGUACACAGGUAUUAAUUUAUUUAUUCCUUUACCGAAGUAUGGCUGAGAGCAUUUAGCAAAAUGUUACCAAUUUGACUUGUUUCUAAUAGUUUCGUAUGUCUUUAUUAUAAUCAUAAAUGCAUUAUGAAUGAUACAAUGGUAUUAUAUUAAGCUAUAAAUUCCUUCUUAUUUUAGUAGUGAUAGUAUGAUAAAUUACUGCUAAAGGUCAAGGUCCACAAUAAGAGAUACACAUUACUCUGUCAAAAAACUUACUCAUAUCCAGCAUCUUAUGAUAAUGUUCUAAUUUGAUCAACUUAAAUAUAUAAGGGAAGUCAUAGGUAUCUCUUCCUGGAGAAGAUUUGGGAUUAUAAUAUUAUGAAGUAAUGCCUGUACAGGGACUUCUACAUAAGGGUUAUUACAAUGUCAGAUGAAACAAAUUAUUUUUUUUCUUUUUUUUUUUUUUUUUUUUGGUCUUUUUGCCAUUUUCUUGGGCCACUCCCACGGCAUAUGGAGGUUCCCAGGCUAGAGGUCCAAUGGAGCUGUAGCCGCCGGCCUACGCCAGAGACACAGCAACGCGGGAUCCGAGCCGUGUCUGCAACCUACACCACAGCUCACGGCAAUGCUGGCUCGUUAACCCACUGAGCAAGGGCAGGGAUCGAACCCGCAACCUCAUAGUUCCUAGUCAGAUUCGUUAACCACUGCGCCACGACGGGAACUCUGAAACAAAUUCUUUACAAAGGUUUAUCUUCUCUGGAAAUCAUACUUGUAAACAAUUUACAUUAUCUGGAGCAUUAGUAAUUGAGACUUUAUUUUGUGGAAGUGUAGUGGGAAUGAAAGCAUGGAGCUAUAGAUUCAUUUGGAUCAGCUAUAAUGGCUAUGAUAUAUGCUAGAGAAGAAAUGUGUCACCCCAAAUUGGGUAUAUAUAUUUAGUUAUUGUAAAUCUAUGGUUAUUAUUCUGAUCUGUGGCAGUAAUUUAAGGUUUCAUAAGUUUUUCCAAUUGCAUUUCAUUUCUUAGAAUUUAUGUCAAAAGUUGAAAGGUCAUGAUUUUUAGUUAUUAAUUUUUCAUCUCUGGAAAAACAAUCGAAUUGUGUUUAGCUGGGAGAGCUGUUUCAAACUGUUGUUGACUGUGCAUUACUAAAGUUUAGAAAGUUUUAGUUUAUGUAACCAGUCUCCCUUAUUUAAGUUUCAAUGACAGAUAUUUUUUAGUUUGUUUAUCACCAAAUAAUAAUGCAAACAUAUCAUGAUGUGUGGUCAUUGGAAGAGGCAUUUGCUAAUUGAUUUUUUUUGGUCUCAGUUUUUAAAACCUAUUAAAAGCAUUUUAUUGUUAUAAAAUCUCUCAAAACUUAUUAAGAGCACCUUAUUGUUAUAUGCAGCUAUAGAGGAAAAAAAUAAGCUUUUUGUAUUUACAUAAAAAUGAGAGUAAGCCAGUCAUUUUGUCUUCUUGAUUAUUGGUUGUUUGGCUAAUCAGAAAAGCUGUGUUAUUACAGUAUUUUUGUAAACAGCAGUUUAGAAAAAAAAAAUCUACAAAUAGUGUUAUGGUGAAAUGUAUUACUGGAAAUUGAAAUUCCAAUUUUAAAAUUAGAUGGGCAUUUCAUGUGUUUAUCAUAUUAAAAUAAUUAAGUUUCUCCUGCAGAUUAGAAUGUAAACUUUUAGCAAAAGUAUGCUCUUGCUAUAUUUUGGUAACACAAAUGUUAUUAUGAAAGCUGUAGGGUUUUGGGCUUUUCUUUAUAAUUAUGAGUAAAUGAUCAUUUUAUAAUGAAAUCAUCCUCAGCUUGUGACUCUCAACUGAUUUUUCCAUCUGGUGUUUGUCAUGUAAAGAUGUCCAGUCAGCAGUAUUAAGCAGUUUGAAAAAUACCAACCAAGCUUCUAUAUUUAUGGAGGCUUCUCAUUUGAUAUGGCUUUUCCAGAUUUCUCUCUCUCUCCCUGUCUCUCUCUUUUCUUCUCUCUUUCUCUAUCUUCAGGGAACUUUCUUCUUAGAAGAGCACAAAGAAUAUUUGUUUUUUAUUCCCAAUUCCCCUAAAAAGUUGAAUUAGUCCAAUAAUUUUGUAUCUAUUCCUUAUUUAUCUUACAAAGAAAACAUAACUACCAAUUUAAACAAAUUGCUCCUUGAGUAAUGUUGAGAUCUGCAAAAAAUAUAAGAGAGUAAACCAUAGGCUGUUUCUUUCUUAGUGCCAAUUUCUAAAUUAUCCUCUAAUAAAUUUUCUAAUAACAUCACUCUUCCACCACCAAUAAUCUUAGCCUUUUCGAUCUUAGCCUUUUUAUUCAAGCCGCUUCUUUAUCCACAAUUGAGUACAAGUAUGUAGGUCAGCCAUGUACCAGGGAAUUCCUUAUAAAGCCUUUCUCAUGUUUGAAUCGCCAUUUCAUACUGAAAAUAUUCACUGGUCCCAGUUUGCAGAAUCCUAGGGGAAAAAAAGGAAAAAAAUUAAAUUAAAUGUUCAAAACUGUGUUCUCUCAGAUUUGUCUCCUUAGAUGUUUCCACUUGCUAGGCCUGUUUGCCCUCAAAGGCAUCCACCCAACCCCUUGGCUCUGCUCUCUUGUGUCUUGCAGGGGCCUCACUCCUGUGGGAUGACUUUCUCAGCUGACUUUGGACUAGGUUUCACCAGUCGCAGGAGCAGCUGAAAGGUUAUAGGGCAGGUGUGGGGAAAGCUGUGUUAUUUCAUUUUCUUGUCCUUAAAAGUGUCUCCCCCAGUGGCACUGACCUUGUGUGGCUCAUUUCUUACUCGAGGGCCCAAAACAGUUUCAGCAGCCUCCAUGUGGACAUUGCCUUGAGCUCCAGUGUCCUGCAGGCCCCUUGUCCCUCAUUAGUAGGGAUGGCAGGCACACUAUGUUGUUGCUAAGACACAGUUCACUCCCUGUUCUCUAUGGCCUUAGAUGUUUCCUCCCUGGCUAGCCUUUGGCCCAGAACCCUUCCCCAGACCUGACCUGGCAUCUACAGUGGGAUGUGACCACACUGGGACUCUCAGUGGUUAAGGAGAGUGGGUAAACUGGGUGAGGCAUCCAGGCAACAUUGGAGCUUGUGUUGCAUGCAGACUUUUAUGGAUGAGUCUUGGAUAAGUGGCCUCCAGCAUCCAGGCACCCAGGUAUGCAGCCCACGUAGAUCCUGUAAGAUCUGGCUUCCUCUGAGAAGUGUGCUAGGGACUCCAGUGCCAGGGGCUUGAUUCUGCCACCUUCUAAGCCACUUCUGACGGAACAUCUCAGCCCAUCUUCUCUUUGACUCUCUGUCAGGAUCCAAACUUACUCCCCACACACUCCUGAAGUCACAAAUCAUAACCGGCAGGCUACAAAUGCAACUUGUUUGCCUUCCUGGAGAACCUCACACUCCACCUACCUGACAAUGUUCCUCCCUGACCCUUUUGGCAUCUCACAUAAAAGAAUUUUUUUUAAGUUUUAGUAAG
rnacentral:lncRNA from 1 species